GGGCUAUGGCUCAGUGGUAGAGCACUUGCCUAGCAUGCAUGAGGCACUGGGCUUGAUUCCUGGCACCA
rnacentral:tRNA from 1 species